GUCGCGGUAUCCAAGCCUGGUAUGGAGCAGGUUUGCUAAACCUGUGCCCGAAAGGGCUCGGGCGUUCAAAUCGCCCCCGCGGCG
rnacentral:tRNA from 1 species